UACGGCCAUACCACCCUGAACACGCCUGAUCUCGUCUGAUCUCGGAAGCUAAGCAGGGUCGGGCCCGGUUAGUACCUGGAUGGGAGACCGCCUGGGAAU
rnacentral:rRNA from 1 species